AUGAAGUCUCUGAAAUCAGAAACAUUUAGGCAAUUUUUUAACACACGUUUUGGAUUGGACCACAAUUGGUAUUAAUUGCGAUGAUCGAAUAGGCUACGUCAGGUACAAUGUAAACAAUUUAAUUGUUAUAUAAUCGAUACGAUAAUCAUAAUGAAUUCUUAUAAUCGUUCACGUCAAGUGUAACUAUAAGGAAGCUAUUAUAUCGUAUGCUCGCACUCGCAGUGCGUAUUCGACGCUUCGAUUGGUAAAAGGUAAUCUCCAAUAAGGUUAGGUAUUUGCGGUUACCGAACAAAACGAAAAGAUUUUUCUGACCUUAGACGUAUUUCUUAUAAAUAAACUAUGUACAUUACUUGAAUAAAUCAAUCGUUGUUCUAAACCGACGAAUUCAGUUUAAACGCGAAGAGUGAAUUUGAAUACAAAUAUUUUUAAUUUUACGUAUGAUAAUUACGAUGCAAUUGACCAACAUAUUGAUCUUCUUCUUUGGACUCAUCUCUUUAGUACUGAGCGAGCCAUUUUUAUGGAGAAAACACCACAGCGGCCAGCAUCAUCAACAUCGUCCUCAUAGCCACUACGGACACCAUCACAGACAUCAUCACCACCACCAUCAGAAUCCUUACCACGUAAGACCGUGGCAUAGUUACGGAUCUCACAAACAGCACCAUCACCUACCUCAAUAUCAUCAGAGAUGGGCACAUUCCAUAUUUUAAUAAUUUCUAACUAUCUGUUACCUUUAUAAUAUUUUACAACGCCGUCGAUUUUCUCAAUUAUUAAUAAUAAUGUAUUUAAUAAAAAAUAAAUUUCAUUUACCUGAUAGAA